GACACACCCGUUCCCAUCCCGAACACGGAAGUUAAGCUCUCCAGCGCCGAUGGUACUUGGGCACGAGCCCCGGGAGAGUAGGUCGUCGCUAGGC
rnacentral:rRNA from 1 species